CUGGAAUCAAUUUAAUGACUGGAGGCCAGAAAGAACAAGCUGCUUAUUUGUGUACUGGGCAGGUUUAGUUCCAAAGUAUUGGAAUUUCCGGUGUCAUUUUUGUAAUACUUUUCCAUUAAGACACUGACAUUUUUUUAAAUAUUGGAAGUUAAAUUCCAUAGCUUUACAUUAACUUAGGUCAGGCCUUCUGUUUUUCAGUAUGAUGCAGAGAAAGAGCUCUGAAGCCUCACAUGGCAUUACUGAAGGCAGUGUGCUUCAGGGUGGUGGAGUCAUAGAGCUCCUGUGUGCACCAGGUGCCUCUCACCUGCUGCCCUCUGGAAAGGAAGCCCGUGCUGCCUUGUCAGAGAAAAAUACUGAGCUGGACAUGAAAAGUUAUACACUGGCUGGCAAAAGAGAAUGAGCAUAGGAUGAAGCCAAAGGGAAAGAAAAAGAGGUUUUAUGAGUUAAUCCACAAAGUGAACAGAAAAACAAUCCCAUUCCUGCUUGAGAGUACAGCAGAGAGGAGUACAGAGCAGGACAGCAAAGUAGAGAAGCAAAGAAUGGAGCAGAAUAACAAACCUCAGGAGGGCCAGAAGGGUAUUUUCUCUCCAGUACACGGUGAACUGCAUCCCACAGUGAGGAGACAUUUAUGA
rnacentral:lncRNA from 1 species